rnacentral:misc_RNA from 1 species
GAUGAAGAACGUAGCGAAAUGCGAUAAGUAAUGUGAAUUGCAGAAUUCAGUGAAUCAUCGAAUCUUUGAACGCACAUUGCGCCCGCCAGUAUUCUGGCGGGCAUGCCUGUUCGAGCGUCAUUUCAACCAUCAAGCCCCCGGCUUGUGUUGGGGACCUGCGGCUGCCGCAGGCCCUGAAAACCAGUGGCGGGCUCGCUAGUCACUCCGAGCGUAGUAAUACAUCUCGCUCAGGGCGUGCUGCGGGUUCCGGCCGUUAAAAAGCCUUAUUUACCCAAGGUUGACCUCGGAUCAGGUAGGAAGACCAGCUGAACUUAAGCAUAUCAUAAGCGGAGGA